AGCGAACGCUGGCGGCAGGCUUAACACAUGCAAGUCGAGCGGGCAUCCUUCGGGGUGUCAGCGGCAGACGGGUGAGUAACGCGUGGGAACGUACCUUCUGGUUCGGAACAACCCUGGGAAACUAGGGCUAAUACCGGAUACGCCCUUAUGGGGAAAGGUUUACUGCCGGAAGAUCGGCCCGCGUCUGAUUAGCUAGUUGGUGAGGUAACGGCUCACCAAGGCGACGAUCAGUAGCUGGUCUGAGAGGAUGAUCAGCCACACUGGGACUGAGACACGGCCCAGACUCCUACGGGAGGCAGCAGUGGGGAAUAUUGGACAAUGGGCGCAAGCCUGAUCCAGCCAUGCCGCGUGAGUGAUGAAGGCCUUAGGGUUGUAAAGCUCUUUUAUCCGGGACGAUAAUGACGGUACCGGAGGAAUAAG
rnacentral:rRNA from 1 species